rnacentral:rRNA from 1 species
AUUGAACGCUGGCGGCAGGCUUAACACAUGCAAGUCGAGCGGAGCGAGGGUGCUUGCACCUUAGCUUAGCGGCGGACGGGUGAGUAAUGCUUAGGAAUCUGCCUAUUAGUGGGGGACAACAUUCCGAAAGGAAUGCUAAUACCGAAUAAGCCCUACGGGGGAAGGCAGGGGAUCUUUGGACCUUGAGCUAAUAGAUGAGCCUAAGUCGGAUUAGCUAGUUGGGGGGGUAAAGGCCUACCAAGGCGACGAUCUGUAGCGGGUCUGAGAGGAUGAUCCGCCACACUGGGACUGAGACACGGCCCAGACUCCUACGGGAGGCAGCAGUGGGGAAUAUUGGACAAUGGGCGGAAGCCUGAUCCAGCCAUGCCGCGUGUGUGAAGAAGGCCUUUUGGUUGUAAAGCACUUUAAGCGAGGAGGAGGAGCUCUAGGUUAAUACCCUAGAUGCUUGGACGUUACUCGCAGAAUAAGCACCGGCUAACUCUGUGCCAGCAGCCGCGGUAACAC